UUCGUCGCUCUAUUUUGAGCAGCUCCACCUCGAACACCAGGGUUGCACCACCUGGAAUCUUUGGGGGAGCUCCCCGCUCUCCAUACCCUAGCUCGGAUGGGAUCACCAGCUUGCGCUUUUCCCCCUCACACAUCCCCAGCAGCCCCUGGUCCCAGCCCUUGAUGACCUGGCCUGUGCCAAGGGAGAAGACAAAGGGCUGGUUCUGGGGCAGGCUGCUGUCAAACUCUGUCCCAUCUUCCAGCUUCCCCUGUGGAACCAUGAGAAGGCCAGUGAGGAAGAGGGGACCACCCC
rnacentral:lncRNA from 1 species